rnacentral:rRNA from 1 species
CUGCUGCCUUCCGUAGGAGUCUGGGCCGUGUCUCAGUCCCAAUGUGGCCGUUCAACCUCUCAGUCCGGCUACCGAUCGUCGACUUGGUGGGCCGUUGCCCCGCCAACUAUCUAAUCGGACGCGAGCCCAUCUCUCAGCGGAUUGCUCCUUUGAUAUCAGCACCAUGCGAUACCAAUAUUUCAUGCGGUAUUAGCGUUCGUUUCCAAACGUUAUCCCCCUCUGAGAGGCAGGUUGCUCACGUGUUA